AAAGUCGUAACAAGGUUUCCGUAGGUGAACCUGCGGAAGGAUCAUUACAUUCAGUAGCCUGCUACUGUUGGGGGGUCUGUCAGUCUGUAUAGUAUCACUACUGAUGAGCAGCGCGACCCUCUGUUUGUACCCUUGUCUUUUGCGCACUCAUGUUUCCUCGGCGGGUUUACGCCCGCCGGCUGGACAACUGUAUAACCUUUUGAAUUUUCAAUCAGCGUCUGAAAAACUUAAUAAUUACAACUUUCAACAACGGAUCUCUUGGUUCUG
rnacentral:misc_RNA from 1 species